GCAACGUGGCGCUGGAUACGUAUCUUUAAAGUCUUACCUUGAAUUUGAAGCGAAAACUUCCCCGUCGUCUGGCAGGGUUCCCACAGGAUUGCGGCUUUUCCAAAACCUCAUAUUUGUACCAAGGGGCCUGGUUGAUUUGGAGAGCUCUGAUACGGGGCGGGGUGCUGCUCAUACCCAGGAGUGCAGAUGAGUGGAAAGAGGGCCGGACACACAUGCAUGUGAGGUGCAAUCAAGCAUGCAGCGGCCACUUUUUCUGAUGAACUCCCCCUCAAUCACAGAGGUUAGACUAUGAAAAGAGGUGA